rnacentral:lncRNA from 1 species
AAGGUCUCCAGAGUCAAAAACGCAUCUCUGUGAUCAUGAUCGUCCUCCAGGACAGGCAGUGUGAGAGUGCGGAAGGGAGUGAGCAACUGUGCUUAUGGUCUAAGGUUACUAGUUUUAUCUAGGAUUCCUAGUUUUUAAAACGAAUACACCUGUAAUUAAAAUUACUUCCUGUGUGGGGCUAGUCUGUGACUCUGUACCCCACUGUCACAGAGCUUGGAGUGGGGAUGAGGGAAAAACCUUAAUUUCUGCAUCUUAGCUCCAGGUCUCACAACAUCUCCCACUUGAUAACACUACGGGUUGUUUAAGGCUCUUUGCUUCUCCUCCUAUUCGUCCAGCCUUUUGGCAGUUCUAUGUCAGAAGGUGAAAGAGA